GCUGUAAAUAUUUUUGCAGAUUUAAUGCUUUAUAUGCCAAAGAAGGAACAAAAUGGCAGCCUCGAAGUCCUGAACCAAAUGUAACUGUCAACAAACUUAGACUGCGUGGGUUGGAAGGCUUCGUAGCAGCAAUAUCUCCCUUUAAUUUCACUGCUAUUGGAGGAAACUUGGCAUAUACUCCUGCAAUGAUGGGUAAUGUUGUGUUAUGGAAACCUUCAGACACUGCUAUACUGAGCAACUUCACCAUCUAUAAAAUUAUGCGUGAAGCUGGUGUACCCGGUGGUGUUGUCAGCUUCAUCCCAAGUGAUGGGCCAGUCUUUGGUGACACAGUAACCAAGUCUCCGCACUUGGCAGCCAUUAACUUCACUGGAUCAGUCCCAACCUUCCAGCGACUGUGGGGGGCAGGGGGUGAAAACUUCCC